AUUGAACGCUGGCGGCAGGCCUCACACAUGCAAGUCGAGCGAGCGGCGGACGGGUGAGUAAUGUCUGGGAAACUGCCUGAUGGUGGGGGAUAACAACUGGACACGUUACCUAACACCGCAUACCAUCCGAUGUGCGCAGAUGGGAUUAGCUGGUAGGUGGGGUAACGGCUCACCUAGGCGCCGAGCCCUAGCUGGUCUGAGAGGAUGACCAGCCAAACUGGAACUGAGACACGGUCCAGACGCCUACGGGAGGCAGCAGUGGGGAAUAGUGCACAAGGGGCGCAAGCCUGAUGCAGCCAUGCCGCGUGUGUGAAGAAGGCCUUCGGGUUGUAAAGCACUUUCAGCGGGGAGGCGUGACCCGCAGAAGAAGCACCGGCUAACUCCGUGCCAGCAGCCGCGGUAAUUC
rnacentral:rRNA from 1 species